rnacentral:rRNA from 1 species
AAUCAACGCUGGCGGCGUGCCUCAGACAUGCAAGUCGAACGAUUAAACUUUCCUUCGGGAAAGAUAUAAAGUGGCGCACGGGUGAGUAACACGUAGGUAAUGUACCUUUGGGUGGGGAAUAACUUAGGGAAACUUAAGCUAAUACCGCAUAAUGCAGCGGCUCCUUCGGGAGACAGUUGUUAAAGAUUUAUCGCCUAAAGAGCAGCCUGCGGCAGAUUAGCUAGUUGGUAAGGUAACGGCUUACCAAGGCGACGAUCUGUAUCCGACCUGAGAGGGUGGUCGGACACACUGACACUGAAUAACGGGUCAGACUCCUACGGGAGGCAGCAGUCGGGAAUUUUGGGCAAUGGGCGAAAGCCUGACCCAGCAACGCCGCGUGAAGGAUGAAGUCUUUCGGGAUGUAAACUUACGUAAGAAUAAGGAAGAAAUAAAUAGACGGUACUA